rnacentral:lncRNA from 1 species
ACUCUAGUUCCUAGUAGAAAUCCACAGGAACGAAAGCAGUCCUCCAUCCUGGCAACGCUUCAGAGACUAAGCCCAGAGAGAAAGGCAUCAAUCGGAGGCCCAGAUAGCAGGUCUCGGGGUUGUCAGGAGUUAACUCAGCCUAGAGUUGACCUGGGAGGUGUUUCAACAUGGAGAAAAUAAGAAUGCAGAAAGGGAAUGGGUUUAGGAACAGACUGGAUCUGAACUGUCCCAGCCAUGUUUACCAAUGAAGAGUGUGAAAAGAAAAACCUGGCCUGGAAUUUUUAAAGGAGCACAGAGUCCUCACCCCUAGCAUCCUUUGUAGGAAGCAUGGGCCAAAGAGAAGAAUAGAGUCACUGCUCUUCAUGUUGUAUGUGGAUAAAAC